GUAUUUGCUUCAGCAGUACAUAUACUAAAAUGUAACAAAAAAAAAAAAAAUAGCAUGGCCCCUGGGCAAGGAUGACAAGCAAAUUCACAAACAUUCUAUAUUUUA